rnacentral:tRNA from 1 species
ACUUGAAUAGCUUAAUGUUUAGAGCGCGACGUUGAAGAUGUCGAUGAGGCGUAUAUUGCCUUUAAGUG